ACACAUGCAAGUCGAACGGAGCUUAGAGAGCUUGCUUUUUAAGCUUAGUGGCGAACGGGUGAGUAACGCGUGAGUAACCUGCCCUAGAGUGGGGGACAACAGUUGGAAACGACUGCUAAUACCGCAUAAGCCCACGGUACCGCAUGGCACUGAGGGAAAAGGAUUUAUUCGCUUUAGGAUGGACUCGCGUCCAAUUAGCUAGUUGGUGAGGUAACGGCCCACCAAGGCGACGAUUGGUAGCCGGACUGAGAGGUUGAACGGCCACAUUGGGACUGAGACACGGCCCAGACUCCUACGGGAGGCAGCAGUGGGGGAUAUUGCACAAUGGGGGAAACCCUGAUGCAGCGACGCCGCGUGGAGGAAGAAGGUUUUCGGAUUGUAAACUCCUGUCGUUAGGGACGAUAAUGACGGUACCUAACAAGAAAGCACCGGCUAACUACGUGCCAGCAGCCGCGGUAAAACGUAGGGUGCAAGCGUUGUCCGGAAUUACUGGGUGUAAAGGGAGCGCAGGCGGGAAGACAAGUUGGAAGUGAAAACCAUGGGCU
rnacentral:rRNA from 1 species